CCCGGCAAUCACGCUACACCCUUCCCCACCACGCCCGUCGCGUCUCCUCAUCGCGCGUCCAACAGAUCCUGCCCGGCAAUCACGCGCCACCCUUCCCCACCACGCCCGUCGCACCUCCUCAUCACCCGUCCACCGCCGCCACUCUGCGCGCCCUCCCCCCACGCUUGUCGCGCCGCCGCUCCCAUCCCACCUCGACGCCGCACCGCUCCAAGCUAGCUGUCAUGGCCGCCCGUCGUCUGCCGCGAUCGAGCGUCGAUGCUACGCCCCUCCUUCGCGGCAUCGUUCCGACGCCCCUCCUUCGCGGCGGCGACCUCCCCCUCUUGUCUCAUGUGAGCGAUUCUCCGAGGGACAUGUUCACCGGACUCUCUCCGCCCGAAGCUAUUCGUGUCGCCGUCAGGUCUCCACGCCGCCCCACAUCGCCGGACUCAACUCCGCCCGAAGCAGCCGAACCAGCCGGGAUCCCUCGCUUUCGCCACCGCUUCCUAUUUCCUCCCCUAAGCUGCUGCUAGGAUGUUGUCCCUGAAUCGCAUCUCAUUCCCGCAGCCGUCGCCAUCUCGCCUCUCACCUGCCCACAGGCCGGGUGGCGUCCUGACCAGGUGCAGCAACGCCGUCGCCUCGCCCAGAAGAUCUUCGGCGCCAUCAAGCUCCAGCUCAGGAGGUUCCUCCUAAUAGCGGUGAGCUAUUCUUACUUUCAGGACCAGGAUGCAAGCUAAAGGAGGGAUCUCCAUCUCGACUUCACGCAGUGGCCACAGGCCACAGCACUUCAACUUGCAAUUCAAACUGCACAAGGAUUUCAGAUGCCCUCCUUCCAUUUCUUCUCUGAUUGUCAGAUGCUUGUCAACGCUGUAAAAGCUGCCGAUCCAAUUGACAGCCCUGGACAUUCGAGAAAAUAAUUUUGUGUGCCCUCAUGAAGGUUGUGGAAAGGAGAAUUUACAUUUGUCAGUACCAUUCCUAUAUAUUGGCCAAAUACAAAUGGAAUUAUUUCGCGUUACAAAAUCUACAUCUCUAGAAAAUACAUACAUCUAAACAAGCCACCUGAGAUUGAUGCUUCCUGACAUACCGAUCACCCAAAUGUCCAGGAGCCUCCCUGAAAACCUUUGAGAAUUGCUGAUAACUAUGCAAGCUAAAGAGCUGCCUCCUUUUGUUCACUACGAAGAUGAGGACAUCUUCCUGACAUUUGAGGAGUCAAGACUCAAGAGCAAUGAUCGAUAACACCAUCAUCCAAGAGCUAUACGUAUUUGCAGUUCUCUUUGAGUCUUUGAUUCAGUCGUUCAACAGCUUGGUUAACUGCAUGGGUUGUAGGCAAAGAGAAGACUGAAUUUUGGCUUCUACGAUGGGUUAACUGAACAUGCAUGUCCUGGAAGCAAGUGCAAUCCUGCACUGGCAUUAUAUAUGCAUAUAAUUCUGAGUCAAGCUCAGUCUUAGCAGAACAGAUAAUUAGUUUUUUAUUUACUUUGGCGUAUAUGGAAGAGUAGACAUGACUAUCUGUUCAAAAUUAUAUACAUAGUUCUUACUCAAGUUCAGUCUCAGCAGGACAAAGCAUU